CUCCAACGGCCUAAUUCCAACUCUGCUGUCGCUCCAGGGAGGCUGUACAAACCCCAGAGAAUAAAGGCCAAGUUUUCUUCAAGGUUACAAAAGGACUGUGGCUUCUGUCUCACUUGUGCGCUGUGAGGGAAGUCAGGCGCCAUGUUGGGAACUGGCCCAUGGAGAAGACCACCGGCCAUGGCAAGGGACUGAGGGAGGCCCUGGUCACCUGCCAGCAAGGGAUGAGACCCUCAGCCCAACAGCCCUCAAGGACCCGUGUCCUGCCAACAAGCAAGUGAGCCGCUUAGAAGCAGAUUCGACCCCAGUGAGCUCUGAGAUGAUCAUAGCUCAGAUUCAUCUUUGGAAGGCCCUUGGCACAGCUGCCCAGUCAGAACUGUGUUGCCUAUAAGCACAGCACAGUCUUCAGGCCCCGCAGGCACACAA